UUGUCUUUGUCUGUGCUUUGUCUGCUCCCUUGGCUCAGCUCUAACAGGGUAGUCUGGCAGGACACACAGCAAUUUCCCACUCCUACUAGGAGGGUAUUCCCAAGAAUAGGGCUAGCUCUUAAAGGCACGAGAGGAUAAU
rnacentral:snoRNA from 1 species